rnacentral:rRNA from 1 species
UACGAAGGGGCUAGCGUUGCUCGGAAUCACUGGCGUAAAGCGCACGUAGGCGGACUCUUAAGUCGGUGGUGAAAUCCUGGAGCUCAACUCCAGAACUGCCUUCGAUACUGAGAGUCUUGAGUCCGGAGAGGUGAGUGGAACUGCGAGUGUAGAGGUGAAAUUCGUAGAUAUUCGCAAGAACACCAGUGGCGAAGGCGGCUCACUGGCCCGGUACUGACGCUGAGGUGCGAAAGCGUGGGGAGCAAACAGG